UACGGAAGGCAGCAGUGGGGAAUAUUGCACAAUGGGCGCAAGCCUGAUGCAGCCAUGCCGCGUGUAUGAAAAAGGCCUUCGGGUUGUAAAGUACUUUCAGUCGUGAGGAAGGUGUUAAGGUUAAUAACCUUAGCAAUUGACGUUAGCGACAGAAGAAGCACCGGCUAACUCCGUGCCAGCAGCCGCGGUAAUACGGAGGGUGCGAGCGUUAAUCGGAAUUACUGGGCGUAAAGGGCACGCAGGCGGUUAAUUAAGUUGGAUGUGAAAUCCCCGGGCUUAACCUGGGAAUGGCAUUCAAGACUGGUUAGCUAGAGUCUUGUAGAGGGGGUAGAAUUCCAUGUGUAGCGGUGAAAUGCGUAGAGAUGUGGAGGAAUACCGGUGGCGAAGGCGGCCCCUGGACAAGACUGACGCUCAUGUGCGAAAGCGUGGGGAGCAAACGAGGACUUAGAUACC
rnacentral:rRNA from 1 species